ACGGCCGUACCAUGCUGAAUAUGGGCCGGUUCUCGUUAGAUCACCGAAGUCAAGCAUCAUUGGGCGCGGUCAGUUCUGGGUGGGUGACCACCUGGGAACACC
rnacentral:rRNA from 1 species